UGUACCUGUGUGUCUGUGUACCUGUGUGCAUGUGUGUGUGCGCGUAUACUUCUGUGUGUGUGUGUGUGUUUGUAUAUUUUUCUCCAAGCGGUUGUGGUUUUUAUUGUAAUGCGUUUGGCAUUUAAACUUUGGAUAAAUGAUUUUAAUAAAGCCGGAAGCGCGGUGUCUGGAGGGUUGCUUUGGGCGUCCCCUGAGACUGGGGCCCCAGUGGGCUGGGUGCGGGGCCCUGCCAUGCUGAGGGCUGCCUGACCCCCCUGGCUGAGAUCGGGGGACCCUGUUGGGCCGGGUGCUGCAUGGACCCAGUGAGAGACAGUCCCUGCCCCCAAAGAGCUCCUCGUUUAAACAGAUAAAAGCAGGUGGGGAAACACGGUCAGAGAAAUGAAGAGACCCGGUAAGGUCGCAGGCUGUUUGUGGCAGAGCUGCAGAGGGAACCCAGGAGUCCUGGCUCCCAACCCCGCCCCUGCUCUAACUCACUAGGGCCCACUCCCCUCCCAGAGCUGGAAAGAGAACUCAGGAGUCCUGGCUCCCAGGAUCUAACCCUGACUCAUACGUGCUACUUUAAGUGCUUGGACUACAGGGUAGGAGAUCCCAGGUGCUUCAUAGUCUCUGCAGGGUGACCAGUGCUAGCCCUGGGGCAAGGAGAUUGAGCGGGGGGGAUUGGAAGCGGCGUGUGGGGGUCUCUAGAGGGGACAUGGAUGGCAGGAUUCCCAGGGCUGAUGGAGUGAGCAGUUCCCCCACUGGAUCCUAGUGACAAAGGGGACAGGGGAACUACCCAAAGAGGUUUGAGUGCUCCGGGUUCGGCCUGCCGCUUGCACAGCUGCCUCCUGUUCAUUGCCGCAGGCUCCACCCAAGAGCUGGCUGCAUCUCAGCGCUGGACAAGCUGUUCCCGGGCAGCGUUCAAUGCGGCUGUUCCCAAGGUGCCCCACCCCAGAGCUGGUUGCGUCUCAGCACUGGGCAAGCUGUUCCUGGGCAGUAUUCUAUGCGGCUGUUCCCAAGGGAUCAGGGCAGGGCUGUGGGCAGGGUCUGGAUAGAGAGGGUGUGUCUGUGGGAUCAGAGUGGGGCUGUGGGCGGGGUCAGGGCAGAGGGGCAUGUCUCGGAUUCGGGUGGGGCUGUGGGUGGGGUCAGGACAGAGGGCGUGUCUCUGGGAUCAGGGGGCAGGGCUGUGGGUUGUUCACUCCUCCUGCUCUGGGAUAGGGGAAGUGUCUCUGGGGCAGGGGUCCCUUCCCCUGGUGCAGAGACCUCCCCCCUCACCCCCUUACAGCUCUGCCCCUCAUCACCCUGGACCUGGCCACCAACCACCCCAACCUGCUGCUGUCCCCCGACCUGCCCGCCGUCCAGCUGGUGGACGAGCCCCAGGAGGACGGGCCCGAACGCUUCAGCAAGAGCGUGUGCAUGACGGGCUCGGCCGGGUUCACCCAGGGCCACCCAGAGGAUUCAGGGGCCUGGGCCAAAGCCAUUUCGGGGACACCUUCCAUGAAAAAAAACCGGGGGGCGCGUUUCCGUUCUGCAAACCCUCUGCAUGGGGACCUCCCCCCUCCCAGACUUGGGGAUGCUGAAGAACUUUGAACAAAUGAUUUUCGAGAUUUUGCUGCCGGAUCUUUUUUCUCUUUCAUGUUAUUUGCACCGGAGAAUAAAACCCAGCUUCGCUGCCAGGCGGAAAGGCUUCUCUCCAGCGCUUCACUUUAACAGGAAAAAGGGGAAUUCUCAGCUGAAAACUUGGUCGUGACGAAGAAAUUCAAUAUCUCGUUAACAGCCGCCUUCAGAUACGUGGCUGCCGGUUAGAUUUCAGUUCAGUUGUGUUUGGGCCGAUGAAGACAGACCCUCUUUGUGUUUCGGAAGAGAGAUUUUCAGAAGAAUGUGCACUUCGGCAAAUAUUUAGAAGUUCGGCGACAAACACCUAUGUUAAGGCGAAGUGAAAGAUGCGAAUGUGUA